CUACUGCAUCUAUUCUCUCUUUAUUUUUCUCUUUUAUUUCCUUCCAUUUUCUACUUUUUAACUAGCUUUUUUUCACCUUCUUCCAAUCAUUCAUGUUUAUAUUUCCCACUGUUAUCAUAAGUUCUGUCCUGAGAAUUUCAGUGGUAUAUAAACAGCCAUCGGUAUCUUUGAUUUUUUGUUUUGAAUUUAGGUUUUAUUUUGUCGAUUUUUUAUUCAAAUGGGUUGAUUUUGCAUUCAAUUUUGCAGAUCUAUUUAGCCUUUGAGUUGUAGUAGUGUUGCAUGCACUGGAUUUAGAGUUAAUUGGAUGGUAUUGCUUUUGGUUCUUUUGCUCCUUCUGACUUUGUAUUUACUUCAAGGAGAAAUCAUAGAAUUGCAAACAUGAGAUGGAGGGAUUGAGUAUAGGAACUUCAUAUUCACAAAAAUAUACUGAAUUUCUUCGUUUUCACAUGGAUUCUACUUGGUAUCUUUCAACCAAGCACCAAUCGAUGGAAUCUCAUCACGUGUCACUUUUCAACCAUCAGAUGAAAUCAUGUUGGUGAAUCUUAUUUCGCAGAUCGACAGUGAAACCAUUGAAGAUUGAGCCUAAGUUCAAUGGAUGAAUAGUUUCCUCAGCAUCAAACGUGCAUAAUCAAAUCACAGACAAGCACUUACUCAUGUCUCAGAGUGUAUUAUAGAGUAAGCAAAUUGCUACCUUAUCAUGAAGGAGAUAUAGCAGGAUAAAACUUACUGCAUAUUUGAGGUAAAUGAUUUGCUUCUUUAAACAGAUUAAUGAAGAAAACGGUGAGCCAAAACCAAAGGGGCAUCUCAGGUGAGUUGAAAAUUAAAAUAGAUAUUUGGCACAAAAACUAACCAAUUCAAUAUUAUGCCUAGCAGCUUCCUUUCUCAAUAUUUCAGUUUCCUCUACAAGAACAUCUGGAACAACAAGUCCUGAAAAAACACAAAAUUAUCUACAACCAUGAGACAUGACAAUUCAGAAUGAUGUACAAAUUAGGGUAGGUCAAUGGUAUGAAAGAAGACUUCAUUAUCAGCACCAUAUUGGAAAUACCACA